GACGGAGGAUGCAAGUGUUAUCCGGAAUCACUGGGCGUAAAGCGUCUGUAGGUGGUUUAAUAAGUCAACUGUUAAAUCUUGAGGCUCAACCUCAAAAUCGCAGUCGAAACUAUUAGGCUAGAGUAUAGUAGGGGUAAAGGGAAUUUCCAGUGGAGCGGUGAAAUGCGCAGAUAUCAGGAGGAACACCGGUGGCGAAGGCGGGUCUCUGGGCAACAACUGACGCUGAGGAGCGAAAGCGUGGGGAGCGAACAGG
rnacentral:rRNA from 1 species